AUGAUUCAUAUUUCUAAACCACAAGUAUCAUACAAAAAUCCAAGACAAAGAUAUUACCGACUGAAACCGUGGCAAAGCGUAUGGUCGGAGAAGGGGAUGUCGAGGGAGGUUACUUCGGCGGGUUUUCAAACUUCUCAGGUAUUGAAGGCACUUGGAGGAAGAAUAGACCAAUUUUCUGCAGAAUUUAUGUUAUCCUCUCUUCCUAAUUUUCUCUUUUGA